rnacentral:tRNA from 1 species
GGAGGGAUUCCCGAGCGGCCAAAGGGGCCUGACUGUAAAUCAGGUGCGUUACGCUUCGGAGGUUCGAAUCCUCCUCCCUCCA